rnacentral:lncRNA from 1 species
CCGAUCAUAGAAUCUCUGAAACACAAGGAAAUAGAUAUUUGUGUAUGAUGAUCAUACAUAGCAUUAUAUAUUACAUUGUAUGGUAGGUUUAUAGGCCAAAACAAAGGCAUGAUAUCAGUUUAUGAUAUCUUAUUUAUAUUUCUUUUAAAAAGCAAAGCAGAGCAAAAAAACAAAGGCAUGAUAUCUUAUUCAUUGAAGUAGUAUGCCGCUGCCAUCCAAAAAAACACAGGCCUGCACCUUCAUCAUGCCAUGUGCUCGGCACCCAACCUCAUCUCCUCAGUCAACCUUCUUGAUUUGCGCCUCCACUAUGGACGCAACUCUGCUUAUGCAUGAAAGAUUAGUGAAGGUUAGAAGAUUACACGAUCCAAGCUUUUUUUGACCAGUGAAAGACAGUGGGAGAGGCUCCCACUGACCUAAAUUUUAAUUAAAUAUAGUUACUACAUGAUCCCGGCUUAGUAACAUAUCAAGCAGAACCAGGUAAGACAGGUCACAACAAAAGAAAGAAAGCUUUUAACCAUAGUUCCCCUUUAGCCUUGUCCUACUAUCUUCUUUCUCGAAUAUCUUUAGAAAGAAAGAAAGAUGAAUAUCAGCACAAAUCAGAACAUCACCCUUCUCAAAAUGCAAACAACAAUGCAUUUAGCUAAACAGUCAAAUAAGUAAUUCAUAUGUGGUGAAUAUGUAUCAGCGCUAGAUGUAUUAAUUAAACAUUAUAACUUUGACCACUAAUAUAUCAAAAAAUAUUUGCAUCCAUAAGGUUAAAAUAAAUAAAUAAAUUUGGCAUGAACAGUACCAUUUCAAGAUAUACUAUCCAAGGCGUGAAAAAUAAGAAGAUGAUGGCCUGGGUAGAUGGUCUAGCUGGUUUAUAUUCCCUUUUUUCGAGAUCAGAUGAAGUUUAGGCUGGUGUUGCUCUCGAUUUAUCUGCAUUAGUUGGUGUCCAGUUUAGCAUUAGGUUUCAGAUAACAGGGCAAUUGCUGACUGACACACAUGAGCAUAUAUUGUUCUUUGAGCAAACACACACACACAUUUUUUUAGGUCAUCACACACAUUAGGCACAUUCUUUGUUGUUGAGUGAAAUAUACAUUAGAAAUUUUUCUUAGUAGACAUUUUUUUAUCAAACUGAGCAGACACACAUGAGAAAAUGAGAGGGGGGUAAUUCUAACCUGAGAGGGUGAGGGAUGGCAAAAGCAUGGUCGUCAUGAAGCAUAUCGGCAUGGUGGAUUAAUCAUAGAAGAGGGAGGAAGUGAAAUUAGUACUGACCUCAUAAAUGAUGAAGGGAAUAAAAUAGUAUCAGCUGCAACAUAAGAGCUCCUGGAAAAUAAAACUCGCUUCUCUGCAUUUUGGAUAUAGUUAAAAAGGGCAAAUCGUAGAAAUGCUAAAUGUUAGGAACCGACACCAUUCAUGUGUGAGUAUGAGAUUCAGAUUAAUGCUGUAAAAUUAUUUAACUUCCUAAUAAUCUUACCAGCUCUCGCACUAUCUAUCAAUCUCCUGAUAUGCUCAAUGAAGUCACUCAGAAUUCAACAUGCCCUCAAAGCAGAGCAAAAAAACUUCCCAGGGGAGUAUAGUGUGCUUGUCAAAACAUCCCAGCAGACAGACCAUAGUGUUGAAGGCGGGUAGAUACAUAGUGCAAAGCAAGCUCUACUAUGAACUAACCCCAAAUUCGAAAUAUCCUAAAUUAGUACACAUAUGCCUAGGCUGACUUCCAUCUAUUGAUAUUUCACCAAGAGCAGAAGAAGCUGGGCACUAACUGGAUCAAAGACGAUGAGAUAAAAUUGGGAAGGCAAACCUUGAAGGUUAAUGCAAAGCUAUUAAGCACCAAGAACAUAUGCUUCCCAGAAUAAAGCAUAUGUUUACCAUCAAAGCAGCAUCUAACUCUUCUUCUUUGAUCGUUACUUCCUGGAAACAAACAGCCAAGCUAUUAAAUUGUCAGAUUUGACUGUAUUUAAUUUGAGAGGAUUAACUGCAAAGCAUCAUUAGAUUCCUGAACUCGGCGUGUUUAGAAUAAGUACACAGGACAAAAUUUUCUCAUACAAAAUCGAUGUGCAAAUGUACUAAUCAAGCACCCCUUUUUAUUAUCCAGGAGCUCCGAGUUUGUAACUCAACUGCAUAUGAUUGCAGGUAAUAUCUAUGGCAGGGUGUAUCUUAUAACCACAAGACAAAUGUCCAUUUGUUUGUAAGACAUGCAUAAUCACUUUUCUUAGCCGUCUUGAGGCUAUAAUGAGAAGUUAAAAAAUGUUAUCUAUUAUAAAUCCUAAUGUAUGUGGUGUGCCUGCAUUUAAAACAUCUAUGUUUUCUGACGAGGUGAAUGGUAAUGGCUGAUUUACUAAUUUUCUAAACCGAUUAUUUAAUCAGUUUGCUUACAUACUGGACUACACACGCACAUCUUCUAUAUCAUUGCUCAAUAGGUGGACAAAUAAGCAGCUGCUGACACUUUUGUAGGUGGACCAUUUGCUCUAUAUUCGCUCCUCUGCAGGCAUGCAAAGCUUAGCUUGCUUCCGAAUCAACAUGCAACGGUCAAGGAGUUAUCUACAUACUACAGAAAUGGGUUCGCAGCUCAGCAUGGAUCUUCACCCUGGCUAAGAAGGUUCCUAGAGAGGCACAAAACAGUCAAAACUGGACUUCUUGUAGUAGUUCGCUGUGGCGCUAGCAUAGUGAUCGGUGAUGGUGUCCUUACUCCAGCAAUCUCAGGUGGAUAAUACCAUCAUCUGGUGGUUACCUUUCAUGUAAAUGCACAAUUCUGGUUAUUAACAUCUCUGCAUGCUCACCAUGUUUUCUUCUGCUCCUUUCCUUGCAGGCCUGUCAUCUAUGUAUGGGCUGCAAGUAAAACAGAGGCAUGAAUAACAGUGAUGACAGGACCAAGGCAUAGAUGACAAGAUUGUUCACACUUAUUGACAGCUAGUCGUACAGAGGCAUGAAGACCAUCCUCUGUUCACAUGACCAACAUUAUUGCUCUGUCAGACCACAAGGUUCAAACAAACACUUUCUUCUACUCUUCACAAAACCAAAAUUUGAGAAAUCAAAACAAGUUAUCAGAGAACCGGAAAAUCAAGGAGGAGAAGGGGAGAAGCGAAGGGGAGGAGGAGGGGCAUGGCUGCUACCUGUAGACGUGUGUGGC